GAUGAACGCUGGCGGCGUGCCUAAUACAUGCAAGUCGAGCGAACGGACGAGAAGCUUGCUUCUCUGAUGUUAGCGGCGGACGGGUGAGUAACACGUGGAUAACCUACCUAUAAGACUGGGAUAACUUCGGGAAACCGGAGCUAAUACCGGAUAAUAUUUUGAACCGCAUGGUUCAAUAGUGAAAUACGGUUUUGCUGUCACUUAUAGAUGGAUCCGCGCUGCAUUAGCUAGUUGGUAAGGUAAAGGCUUACCAAGGCAACGAUCCGUAGCCGACCUGAGAGGGUGAUAGCCCACACUGGAACUGAGACGCGGUCCAGACUCCUACGGGAGGCAGCAGUAGGGAAUCUGCCGCAGAGGGCGAAAGCAUGACGGAGCAACGCCGCGUGAGUGAUGAAGGUCUUCGGAUCGUAAAACUCUGUUAUUAGGGAAGAACAAAUGUGUAAGUAAAUGUGCACGUCUUGACGGUACCUAAUCAGAAAGCCACGGCUAACUACGUG
rnacentral:rRNA from 1 species